rnacentral:rRNA from 1 species
UAGGAAUUUUGGGCAAUGGGCGCAAGCCUGACCCAGCAACGCCGCGUGAGGGAUGACGGCCUUCGGGUUGUAAACCUCUUUCAGUAGGGAAGAAGCGAAAGUGACGGUACCUGCAGAAGAAGCGCCGGCUAACUACGUGCCAGCAGCCGCGGUAAUACGUAGGGCGCAAGCGUUAUCCGGAAUUAUUGGGCGUAAAGAGCUCGUAGGCGGUUUGUCGCGUCUGCCGUGAAAGUCCGGGGCUCAACUCCGGAUCUGCGGUGGGUACGGGCAGACUAGAGUGAUGUAGGGGAGACUGGAAUUCCUGGUGUAGCGGUGAAAUGCGCAGAUAUCAGGAGGAACACCGAUGGCGAAGGCAGGUCUCUGGGCAUUAACUGACGCUGAGGAGCGAAAGCAUGGGGAGCGAAC